rnacentral:rRNA from 1 species
AUUGAACGCUGGCGGCAUGCCUUACACAUGCAAGUCGAACGGCAGCACGGGUGCUUGCCCCUGGUGGCGAGUGGCGAACGGGUGAGUAAUACAUCGGAACAUGUCCUGUAGUGGGGGAUAGCCCGGCGAAAGCCGGAUUAAUACCGCAUACGAUCCACGGAUGAAAGCGGGGGACCUUCGGGCCUCGCGCUAUAGGGUUGGCCGAUGGCUGAUUAGCUAGUUGGUGGGGUAAAGGCCUACCAAGGCGACGAUCAGUAGCUGGUCUGAGAGGACGACCAGCCACACUGGGACUGAGACACGGCCCAGACUCCUACGGGAGGCAGCAGUGGGGAAUUUUGGACAAUGGGCGAAAGCCUGGUCCAGCAAUGCCGCGUGUGUGAAGAAGGCCUUCGGGUUGUAAAGCACUUUUGUCCGGAAAGAAAUCCUUGACUCUAAUACAGUCGGGGGAUGACGGUACCGGAAGAAUAAGCACCGGCUAACUACGUG